rnacentral:lncRNA from 1 species
CAGUCACUUCACGGGAUUCCACCAAGCAGCUGUGACCUGAAAGUUGGGUCUCUGCGCUUUUAAGCUCUCCUUUGCACCAGGGUUGCCUCCACCCAUCAUUUCCAGGUCUACUUCAUUUAGUACUCUUGUUAAAUACAUCAUGUGUUUCUUGUUUAACCCAUAAAUAGGAAACAAAGUUCCUAAAAACUUUAAAAACAUCCAUUUCCAGGCCUCCACUCUUGAGGGCAAUUUUACUAGCAGUCUUGCUAUUCAAGCAAAUAGACAUGACUCAUUAAGUGUUCUUUUUUUUUUUUUAUUUCACACAAAGAGAUCUACAUGAAACAUCUCAGUUUCCAUUUUCUUCCCAGUAUCCAGAAAAAUGGCACCAACUUUUUGAGUUCCAGGUCCCCCCUGCUCAGCUGCAUUACCAAGCACAAAAUCUAUUCCUGUGUGUCUGUCUGCUCGGCAAACUUUUCUUUACUUAGCCCUGUAUUUACACAUUUCUUGAUCUUUUUGUUUUCUUCCAGGGGCUUUCCAGUCCUUAAAACUCCAGGUUUUCAUCCACAGACAAGCCACAUGUUUGGCACUCCCAGGCUGAUUUCAAGAUGGACAGACCAAUGGCCAUUAAGAACAUACCUUUCUUCAUCCUAGUGCCUGAUUCAGCUUCUUUUAGAUAUCUGGGAAGAGGGAGAGUGUUUCAUCUGAAAUGCUUAGAGAAAUGUGAUCUGGAAUAUUGCAGUUUUCUGGUUCUCUUGCCUUACAGAAACCCAACUGAAGAAAAGACAUGACUAUAUCAUUCCUGAACUUCAAUAAAGGUUUGAUUCUAUUUUGCUUCUUACA